UAAAAAUCUGGCUCAGUUACUCUCUAGUUCUGGUGUGUUCUCUUUUCCAGGUGGUUGGUGUUUCUGCAGUGUUUGGCACAGGACUGGGGGAGAUUUUUACCCAGCUUUCUAAAGCUGUAGAUGAAUAGGAGAGACUGAAUGCACUCCCUUUAUUCACCUUUUCAGAGAGUAUCGGCCAGAAUACGAGCGCCCGAGAAAAACACUGAAUCCACAUGUAAAUCUUUGUCUACGGGAGAAAGCUCAAAAUAAACAAAAGAGAGAGCAGCUGGAACACUUGUGGAAGGACAUGGGCAGCGUGUGUGUGCAGGGCAGCACACUGGCAGGUACCUCCCCAGGAAGAUAAAGUUUACUGCAGAAGUUUUCUGAAGAGUUUGCCUUGUGAAGUAGUACAGUGCUUCUUUGUCCUCACAGCAGAAAUGUGAAAGCAGCUCCAUGUUAGAGGAGCAGGGCUUUAGUUCCUGUGGGAUUGGUCACACUCAGCUCGUCCUGUGUCAGUCACAGGUUUGGAAGAAACCCCGCUGUGUAGCUAAAGCAGUGGACCUACUAGAAAUAAUGAAAUACUUUAGAAAAGGCGAAACAGUCAGAUCAGAAUAUGAGAAAGCUCUGCUGUUGGCUGCACUGUUCCUUAGAUGAGGCGAGUAGGUGCUGAUGGAGUCUGUCCUGUGUCUGGGAUCCACAAGCAGCUUUCUGUCCCCUUAGAGCAGGUGUUCAUUGCUGGGUUUCUGUGCAGAUAGAAACCUUACCUUUAGCAAGCUGCUGUGCUGUGUGUGCCUGCAGGACCUGGGUGAAAAGGACAUUCUCUGAGGUGCUGGGAGAAGGAGGACUCGUGCGGGCACCUCCAGAGACAGCGGGAACGGGAGCGUGCUGCGGAGAAGGAAAAUUCCAGGGGAAUUGCCACGAGAGGAAAUACUUCAGAGGGGCUUCCCUCCAGCUAAGCCCUGAAUAUGCCAGGAGGUUUCAGCCGGGAGGAAAGGAGCUGUGGAAGAAAAGCAGCCUAAAAAUAGCCAGCGGGGAUCAUCAGGUUUUCCAGCCAAGAAGAACAAGGAGAGAGAUGAGGGAAUCGGGUUCCAAUUCCUAAUGAUUUGGUGGGUGCAGGAAUGAUUUCUGUGUGUUUUCCAGUCCCUUUUGAUUCCUGAGAUGAUUUUAAAAUGAUGGCUUUAGCAAUCAACUAAAUCGGAGAUGUUGUUUUUGAGAGGAAAUGAUGCCAAAUAAAUGCAGAGUUUUGGGUCAGUUUUUGG